GAUGAAGAACGCAGCGUAAUGCGAUAAGUAAUGUGAAUUGCAGAAUUUAGUGAAUCAUCGAAUCUUUGAACGCACAUUGCACCCCUUGGUAAUCCUUGGGGUAUACCUGUUCGAGCGCCGUUUGUGUCUUAAGGCUUUGCCUUGCGUUGAUGCUGCCCCGAUAGGGGCUCAUCGAAACACAUCGGCGCCCGUCUCGGCCCAGAACGCAACAAACUGCGCGAAUGGUCUUUUUGACGGGCGGCCAAACUCCGAAAGCAUGGCCUCGGAUCAGGUAGGGAUACCCGCUGAACUUAAGCAUAUCAAUAAGCGGAGGA
rnacentral:misc_RNA from 1 species